rnacentral:rRNA from 1 species
CCUUUACAAUGCACGCAAGUGUGAUAAGGGAACCCCAAGUGAUAAUGCAAAGCAUUAUCUUUUGCUUAGAGCAAAUAUCUAAGCGAAUAAGUGGUGGGCAAUACCUGUGCCAGCCGCCGCGGUAACCCAGGAGCCACAAGUGGCAGCCACCUUUAUUUGGCCUAAAGCGUCCGUAGCCGGUUUUGUAAAUUCUCUGUGAAAUCGUUGCGCUUAACGUAACGGCGUGCAGAGAACACUGCAAGACUAGGAACCGGGAGGAGUUGGAGGUAUUUUGGGGGGAGCGGUAAAAUGCUAUAAUCCCCGAAGGACCACCUGUGGCGAAAGCGUCCAACUAGAACGGAUUCGACGGUGAGGGACGAAAGCUAGGGGAGCAAUCCGGAUUAGAUACCCGAGUAGUCCUAGCCGUAAACGCUGUGAGCUAGGUGUUGCACAUUCUUAGGGAAUGUGCAGUGUCGUAGCGAAGGUGCUAAGCUCACCGCCUGGGGAGUACGGUCGCAAGGCUGAAACUUAAAGGAAUUGGCGGGGGAGCACUGGG